rnacentral:rRNA from 1 species
AACGAACGCUGGCGGCGUGGCUAAGACAUGCAAGUCAAACGAACUAUACAAUUGAGUAAUCGAUCGUAUAGUUAGUGGCGAAAGGGUUAGUAAUGGAUAGGUAACGUACCCUGUGCUUCGGAAUAGCGUCUCCCGACUUGUCGGGAUACCGAAAGGGUCAGUAAUACCGAAUAAUAUCAGUUGUCGAUGGGCAACUGAUCAAAGAUUUAUCGGCAUUGGAGCGGCCUAUCUCCUAUCAGCUUGUUGGUGAGGUAACGGCUCACCAAGGCAGCGACGGGUAGCGGGACUGAGAGGUUGACCCGCAACAUCGGGACUGAGACACUGCCCGGACCUCCACGGGGGGCUGCAGUAACGAAUAUUGCGCAAUGGGCGAAAAGCCUGACGCAGCGACGCCGCGUGCGGGAAGGAAGUCCUUCGGGAUGUAAACCGCUGUCAGGGGGAAGAAAGCCCGCUCCGGCGGAUUGAUCUAACCCAAAGGAAGUCACGGCUAACUUCGUGCCAGCAGCCGCGGUAAGACGAAGGUGGCAAGCGUUGUUCGGUGUUACUGGGCUUAAAGGGUGUGUAGGCGGAAAGGUAAGCGUCUUGUGAAAGCCCCCGGCUUAACCGGGGAAUUGCUUGGCGAACUGCCUUUCUUGAGGCAGGCAGGGGCGCAUGGAACUCUUGGUGGAGCGGUGGAAUGCGUAGAUAUCAAGAGGAACGCCGAUGGAGAAAUCAGUGCGCUGGGCCUGUCCUGACGCUGAUACGCGAAAGCGUGGGGAGCGAACGGGAUUAGAUACCCCGGUAGUCCACGCCGUAAACGAUGUCUACUAGGUCGUGGAGGUUCUGACACCUKCACAGCCGAAGCAAAAGUGUUAAGUAGACCGCCUGGGGAGUACGGUCGCAAGGCUA